AGAGUUUGAUCAUGGCUCAGGAUGAACGCUGGCGGCGUGCAUAACACAUUCAAGUCGAACGGAGAAUAAAGCUUCGGUUUUAUUCUUAGUGGCGGACGGGUGAGUAACACGUGAGCAACCUGCCUGUGUGAGGGGGAUAACAGCCGGAAACAGCUGCUAAUACCGCAUGAAACAGAGUGACCGCAUGGUCAAGCUGUCAAAGAUUUAUCGCACACAGAUGGGCUCGCGUCCGAUUAGUUAGAUGGUGAGGUAACGGCUCACCAUGACGACGAUCGGUAGCCGGACUGAGAGGUUGACCGGCCACAUUGGAACUGAGAUACGGUCCAGACUCCUACGGGAGGCAGCAGUGGGGAAUAUUGGGCAAUGGGCGAAAGCCUGACCCAGCGACGCCGCGUGAAGGAAGACGGUCUUCGGAUUGUAAACUUCAAACAACAGGGAAGAAAAAAUGACUGUACCUGUUAGGAAGCCACGGCUAACUACGUGCCAGCAGCCGCGGUAAUACGUAGGUGGCGAGCGUUAUCCGGAUUUACUGGGUGUAAAGGGUGUGUAGGCGGGAAGGCAAGUCAGAUGUGAAAACUAUGAGCUCAACUCAUAGCCUGCAUUUGAAACUGUUUUUCUUGAGUGUCGGAGAGGUAAACGGAAUUCCCAGUGUAGCGGUGAAAUGCGUAGAUAUUGGGAGGAACACCAGUGGCGAAGGCGGUUUACUGGACGACAACUGACGCUGAGACACGAAAGCGUGGGGAGCAAACAGGAUUAGAUACCCUGGUAGUCCACGCUGUAAACGAUGAACACUAGGUGUA
rnacentral:rRNA from 1 species